GACGAACGCUGGCGGCGUGCCUAAUACAUGCAAGUAGAACGCUGAAGAGAGGAGCUUGCUCUUCUUGGAUGAGUUGCGAACGGGUGAGUAACGCGUAGGUAACCUGCCUUGUAGCGGGGGAUAACUAUUGGAAACGAUAGCUAAUACCGCAUAACAAUGGAUGACACAUGUCAUUUAUUUGAAAGGGGCAAUUGCUCCACUACAAGAUGGACCUGCGUUGUAUUAGCUAGUAGGUGAGGUAAUGGCUCACCUAGGCGACGAUACAUAGCCGACCUGAGAGGGUGAUCGGCCACACUGGGACUGAGACACGGCCCAGACUCCUACGGGAGGCAGCAGUAGGGAAUCUUCGGCAAUGGGGGCAACCCUGACCGAGCAACGCCGCGCGAGUGAAGAAGGUUUUCGGAUCGUAAAGCUCUGUUGUAAGUCAAGAACGGGUGUGAGAGUGGAAAGUUCACACUGUGACGGUAGCUUACCAGAAAGGGACGGCUAACUACGUG
rnacentral:rRNA from 1 species